AGCCUGGGUGACACAGAGAGACUCCGUCUCAAAAAAGAAAAAAAAAGGACAAAUAUCCAUAAUAUAUAAAGAAUUAUAGCUCAACAAUGAAAGCAAAUGGCCCAGUUAAGAAAAUGGGGAAAAGGCUUGAAUAUACAUUUCUCCAAAGGAGAUAUAUCAAUGGCCAUGAGCACAUGAAAAGAUGCUUGAUGUCAUUAGUCAUUAGGGAAAUGCAAAUCAAAACCACAAUGAGAUACUCCUUCACAUGCACUGGGAUGGCUCUAAUUAACAAAACAAAACAAAACGGAAAAUAUCAAGUGUUGGUGAGGAGGUAGAGAAAUUGGAACCUUCAUGCAUUGCUGGUGGGAAUGUAAAAUGGUAUAGCUAUGGUGGAAAACAGUUUGGUGGUUCCUCAGUAAGUUAACCAUAGAAUUCCCAUAUAAACCAAUAAUCCUGCUCCUAGUUAUAUACCUAAAAUUAUUGAAAACAAGUGUUUAAAAAUGUGGUAUAUCCAUAAACUGGACUAUUAUUUGGCCUUAGAAGGAAUGAAGUACUGAUACAGGCUACAACAUGGGUGAACCUUGAAAGCAUUAUAUUGAGUGAAAGAAGUCAGAUAAGAAGGCCACAUAUUGUAUGAUUCCAUUUAUAUGAGCCAUCCAGAAUAAGCAAAUCAUAAAGACAGAAGGCAAAUUAUUGGCUGAGGGAAUGGAGAAUGGGAAGUGGCAGCUCAAUGGGUAUGGGGUUUCCUUUUGGGAUGAUGAUAAUUUUCUGCAACUGAAUAGUGGUAAUGGUUGUACAAACUUACAAAUAUACUAAAUGCCACUGAAUUGUUUGUUUUAAAAUGGUUACCUUUGAACCUUUGUACAUAGUUGGUGGGAAUGUAAAUUACUAUAAGCACUAUAGAGAACAGUUUGGAGGUUCCUCUACUAACUAAAAAUAGAGCUACCAUAUGACCCAGCAAUCUCACUGCUAGGAAUACACCCAAAAGAAAGGAAAUCAAUAUGUUGAAGAGAUAUCUUCACUCCCGUGUUUAUUACAGCUCUAUUCAUAAUAGCCAAGAUUUGGAAGCAACCUAAGUGUACAUCAGCAGACAAAUGCAUAAAGACAAGGUGGUACAUAUACAAAAUGGAGUACUAUUCAGCUGUAAAAAAGAAUGAGAUCCUGUCAUUUACAACAACAUACAUGGAACUGGAAGUGGUUAUGCCUCUGCCUCUGAAUGUGAAGGAAAACUGGACCAGCUCAGUGUCAAGCCUGACUUGUAGGUCUGUUGUUUGAGCCAGCCUUGCAGAUGAGUGAGUUUGUGGUUCUCACUGGACUAGCAUCUAUACAGACAAACUUUGCUUGGGUCACCAAUAAAACUGGAGUCUUAAAUGCUUUUGUGCAGCAGCUCUCUCAUCAAAUGAUUGUCAUGAUGAUACAGCAGUAAAAAGAUCAAGAAGAUCUUGUGAUACAGUUGACUAUGGAGACAAGCAGACAACCUCCCAUCAGUGAAGCGCUGCAUUUCUGGUCUUCCUUGCAUUGACCAACCUCUUGUAAAAAAUUUAUUAUAGUGAUAAAAAGAAGAUGUUGUACGAUAAAGGAUGUCAUCUUUCAAGAGUCAUUAUGACAAAUUAUUAACACUACAGUCACUGUGUGAGGGCUUAAUGGGUCAUCCACAGAAUCCUGGCAUUUCUGUUGCAGAAGCACCUGAAUGUUCAUCUAGGGCAAUGUUUUGAAUAUGCUCCGGGGAGCCACAGGGCUUCUUCAGACACCCCACGGGAGUGAAGGCCCUUUCCUCCCUCCUACCACCACACACAGCCUGUUGUGAUUUGGAGCAGGACUGCUUCUGGCCACAGGAUAUGCCUGGUCUAGGAAAUGGCCACAUUUCCUCCCUCAGGACCUCUGCUUGGAUGGGCUGUCUUGGAAAUAAGG